CCUACGGGUGGCAGCAGUGGGGAAUAUUGCGCAAUGGGCGAAAGCCUGACGCAGCGACGCCGCGUGAGGGAUGAAGGUCUUCGGAUCGUAAACCUCUGUCAGCAGGGAAGAACGGUCACUGUGCUAAUCAGCAGUGAAUUGACGGUACCUGCAAAGGAAGCACCGGCUAACUCCGUGCCAGCAGCCGCGGUAAUACGGAGGGUGCGAGCGUUAAUCGGAAUUACUGGGCGUAAAGCGCACGUAGGCGGUAUGUCAAGUCAGGUGUGAAAUCCCCGCGCUCAACGUGGGAACUGCCUUUGAAACUGGCAGACUGGAGUGUGUGAGAGGAUAGUGGAAUUCCAGGUGUAGGAGUGAAAUCCGUAGAGAUCUGGAGGAACAUCGGUGGCGAAGGCGACUAUCUGGCACAUAACUGACGCUGAGGAGCGAAAGCGUGGGUAGCAAACAGGAUUAGAUACCCGGGUAGUC
rnacentral:rRNA from 1 species